UACAGAGGUCCCGAGCGUUGUUCGGAUUCAUUGGGCGUAAAGGGUGCGUAGGUGGCGCCGUAAGUGGGGUGUGAAAUCCCGGGGCUUAACCCCGGGACUGCAUUCCAUACUGCGGUGCUUGAGGACUGGAGAGGAGACUGGAAUUUACGGUGUAGCAGUGAAAUGCGUAGAGAUCGGGAAGAACAUCAGUGGCGAAGGCGGCCUGCUGGGCUGUUGCUGACGCUGAGGCGCGACAGCGUGGGGAGCAAACAGG
rnacentral:rRNA from 1 species